rnacentral:lncRNA from 1 species
GUGUAAUUAUAAUUGUUGAAAAUAGACAAAGAAACCAUUAUAUGUAAAUUAUUAUAGACGACUAGACCAUAGCCCAUAUAUAGGAGAAACGACGCAAAUGAACAUUGAUUAAUUGGCAUUGCCGUAACCAGAACCCGAUCCACUUCCAUAUCCGGAAGCACUACCGUUUCCUUUACUCGAAGCACUUCCACUGCCACCACCUCCACCACUUCCGCUCGCACUGGUGUAAUCAUUGUACGUUGAGGUGGAGGCAGAUCCAGAUCCACGACCAGAACCAGAUCCGUUUCCCCUCCCAUUUCCAUUACUGGAGCCACCUCCACGACCACCUCCAUUUCCAUCUGCAUUUGUGUAACCGCCUCCGUAGUAGCCACCAGAAUUGUAUCCAGAUCCACUGCCAGAUCCAUUACCAUACCCAGUUGCACUUCCAUCCCCUUGGGAUGAAGCUCCACCUCUUCCGUUUCCAUCUCCAUUUCCGCUAGCACUACCACCAUUGUAAUAAUAAUAAUAAUUAUCCUUGUAUGAAUCGCCGUUUCCAUAACCUGAACCUGAACCAUAAGCACGUGCAGAUCCAUCGCCAUUGCUGGAGGCCCUUCCACCCCCGUUGCCAUUUCCAGAACCUCUAGCAUACGAAGUUAAGACUCUCGAUGCAGAGGUCAUGCUAACACAAAGAAUCAUGACCACAAGGGCGGCGACAUUCACCGUCGAAGAAUGAGCCAUAUUGGCUAUAGCAAGUUGAUUUGGAUAUGAAAGAAAGAAACAAUUUGAAAUAAGGAAUGAAGUAAUUUGAUAUGAUAUGAUUUGCAUGAUUGGUUGGUAUUUAUAGACAUGAUUGUGGUGCAGAAUUCAAUUGCAAGCAUUAAUUUCCAGCUAGUUAUCUAUUUUUUACAUUUCCUACUUUGAAUUCUUCCUUAAUUUCACUUCAAUAACAAACUUCUUACAUUCUUUAUUGAAUUCAGAGAGAAAAUGAAGAUAUAUAUGUUGAAAAAAUAAAAUCCCAUGAUUGAAGUAAUUGACUUAUGAUUAGGCUUAAUUACCAUUCCAUAAUUAAUUCAAACAUUUGACUCAUUUGUUAAUUCAUUACUUGAAUAUUCUAAUUACAACUGGUGGUUUGUUCAUUUAUCUAAAUUUCUUUGACUUUUUUAGCCAAAGAAAGGAUCAAUGUUAUGAACACACUCCCUUAUAAUAAUUAAUUAGUUCCUUGAUUCAAACUUUAAUUUGCCUCGAUUAACUAUUUCUAUUUUUUACAACUUGACAAUUAAGUAGAUUAUUUGUUUCUUCAACCUAAUCUCGCCAUCUCCGACUUUCUACAUACUCCAUCUCCGACCUAAUCUGCAGAACCUUUAGAGAUUGGGUUGGAGAACCCCUACCUUGCCAUCCUAAUUGUCAUUCCUUAAUUCAAAGUUUUGAUUCAUUUAUUUACAUCAAUUUAAUUGCAACUUGUAAACUCAAUUUAAUUACAUCAAUUUCUUUGCUAUAUAUAGAGAGAGAGUAAUUUUGCAGGAUCAUCCUUCUAUGUGGUGUAAUUUUAACAUUUGGCUAAUUUUAAUUAUAAUAGUCCUACGUUUUAUCUCUCUAUUCAUAAUUGUAUUAUACUUUUGGACCUUCGUAAAACCUAUUUUAUCAUAUUAAUCAUGAUAUGUCACAUAAUUCUAAUUAAAGCUUACUCCUACUUGAAAGUCAUCUAGUUCGAUUUUGGAAAAAUAUUAUUUCUCCUCGUCGUCGACGAUACACAAUCCUCCAUGGUAUUAUACAAUACAAGAAAACAAACCUUGCCCACGGCCAAGAUUAGUGGUCUUCUGUUGAAAUCCGUGGGCCGUGGACGUAGGUCUAGUAGCUAUUUUAUUUAUUGGCCGUGACUAACUUUUUAAAAUAAUAAAAAACUAUUGGAGAAUCCACGUGGCUCCACUGCUGGCAUAAUUAGUUAAGGCAACUAUGAGUUAGUUAGAUAUUAAUCGGUUAUAACAGUAUGUAAUCUGUAGCUAUAAGUACGUAAUAAUCAGAAAAAUAUCAGAUACAAUUUGGUUAAUUGAUUCAUCAUCUUAUAUGGUAUCAGUAGUUUGGGUUUAGAAUCAUGACAACCGAAAGAGUUUCCGUUGCAAAUUCAGGCCGUUUUCCUGCCACCAUCGAUGCUCGCACACAGUCUUCAUCAACGAAGAUUGUUAUGAAGCCGAUGAAGUGCAUACAACUCGAUAAGAGCAAUUACUACUCAUGGGAAGUGCAGUUUUUUGUGAUGCUUCAGGGUUUCCAGUUAUAUUUGACUAUGUUCUGGGAAGAGUGGAGUUAUCGUCGCCAUCAUCAAUCCAGCAGGAUCAAUUAAUCCUGAGCUGGACACUGACCAACAUCUCAAUAACCACUCUUCCUCAGGUAGCAUCGCGGAAGACUUUGGCAGAGGUUUGGGAUGGUCUGCGCAAGCUAUAUGCUUCUGGAACGCAUGCGCGGCAGCUUCACAUUCGCCUUCAUCUUCAGUCGAUUCGGAAAGGGGGCUUAAGCAUUGAAGACUACUUUUCCAAAAUUUCCAUCCUAAAAAACGCUCUCGCAUCUACUGGGGAGGGACUAAAGGAAUCGGAAAUAAUAUUAAUCACUUUGGGUGGAUUGGGAGAUGAAUUUGAAUCGAUUGUAACUGCAAUAACAACUCCGUUUAAUCCAGAUCUGACGUUCUCCGGAGUGUGCAAACUAUUGAUGGACCACAAUCUCCGUCUGGAAAAAUCAAGAUCCACAAAUUCCGUUGUGGUAAAUAUUGCUACCAAGGUUACUCAUCCCGCCAACAGUCAGAGAUCGCCUAGAUCGGAUAUCCAAUGUCAAAUCUGCACGCGGAAAGGGCAUAGCGCCGCGGAUUGCUACAAUCGUUUGAAUUUUGACCGCUAUCCGGCUUUGCACGGUAGGGUAUUAUCAUCACUCGGUCCGAACGGGAGCACACGAACUCAGACUUCGGAAAAUCUGAUAACGACAUCUUCUGGCACAGCCACGAUGUCGUACCCCGAUUCAAGGGCCACAUCACACAUCAUCGCGUCAUCAGAAAAUAUCUAGUGUCCAAGAGCGUACAAUGGUAAUAUUUUCACAGCAGAUUGCAGUCCAUUAUCAAUUUCUUAUUCCGAUCAGAGCAAAGCUAUCUCCGAUUCCAAUAAUUUUGUUUUUCGUGAUUUACUGCUAGUCCCCUUGGCUACUAGGAAUUUAUUAUCAGUAAAUAAAUUUUAACGAAAGAGGUGGAGCUUCAUCCCAAGGGGAUGGAAGUGCAACUGGGUAUGGUAAUGGAUCUGGCAGUGGAUCUGGAUACAAUUCUGGUGGCUACUAUGGAGGUGGUUACACAAAUGCAGAUGGAAAUGGAGGUGGUCGUGGAGGUGGCUCUAGCAAUGGAAAUGGGAGGGGAAACGGAUCUGGUUCUGGUCGUGGAUCUGGAUCUACCUCCACCUCAACGUACAAUGGUUACACCAGUGCGAGCGGAAGUGGUGGAGGUGGUGGCAGUGGAAGUGAUUCGAGUAAGGGAAACGUUACUGCUUCUGGAUAUGGCAGUGGAUCGGGUUCUGGUUACGGCAAUACCAAUUAAUCAAUGCUCACCUGCUUUGAUCUAAUCGUCUAUUAUAAUUUACAUAUAAUUGUUUCUAUUUUUGGAGGUCCAAAAAUUAAUAUUGUUUGUUGACGGGAGGUCCAAAAAUUAAAGUAAAAAAUUAAAUUUAUAUUUUACUUUUUUGCCCAAUACCUGAUCCAAAUCCAAUGGAUACUCAACCAAAGUUCGGGUACAAGCUAGUAUGGGUAAGUAUUAGUGGUCUAUCAAAAAUGUUCGGGUAUAUGAAGUAUAUUGCAUUUAUUACAUUAAAUAUAUGAACAUGUAGAAGACAGGAUUUCCCCAAGUAGUAGCAAACAAUUGCGGAAGGUGAAAUAUUUUUUAGACAAACUUAUUAAUAAUAAUAAAAUAUCAGGUAAAAACCCCUCUUUUAGGUUCUUAAAUGAAAACUUUAUCUUAGUCAUCCAUUCUACUCUGAUAAAUCCUGGUCAUUCAUUGGAAACUGAUUGCAACCGAUGGAGAUAACUAUUUUUUUUAUUCUCACAUUUUGUCUCUCCCUACGUAAAUGUCAGAAUGCUAUUUUUUUUCAUCUUUCUCUCACACAGACACUCUCUCCUACCGUCUAAAAUGUCAGAUUUUUUUUCUCUCUUACAAUUUUUCUCUUCCUCCGUCUUCUGUGAGAACCAUUUUUUCUCUUCUUUUCUCUCACAAUCUCUCUCUCUCUUCGUCUGGUGUCAGGUACCGAUUUUUUUCCCUCUCUCACGAACUCUCUCUCCAUACGUCUUUGUUGUCAUAUUUGGAUUUUUUUUUAUCUUUCUCUCACAAUUUUUCUUUCUCCUACGUCGUUUGUUAAUUAAUUUCUUCUUCUUCUCUCUCUCUCUCCGCCACACCAGGCAGGAGGAAAGGAGCGAUAGGCACGCGACAAGGAACGACAAGCGGGAUAAGGAAACGACAGUUGCAGGAGAGCCAAUGAAUGAUGGUUUGGAUUUAACGAAUGAUGGUUUUAUAAUAUCAAUGAUGAACUAAGCUUUCUUAUUUAUAUGAUUGCAUUAUGACCUUUAGUAUUUUCAGCUUUGAUAUAUGAAAAAUCAGAUGUAUUUUGCUUGUCUUUGGUAGCUGAUGAAGCACGAAAUCUGCUACCAGUAGGCUUGCGGGAUUGCGAGGAGGGCCGGAGGCUUUGGAGUCCACGACGCGCGCUCUACGUCAAUGUACCUGCAGAGAAGAAGGGAGUCGGCGACUCAGGUGUGGAAGUCGGCGACUCGGGCUCCUUAGUUGCUCUGGUUGGAGUGUGUGUCAAGUGUUUGUGGAGGGGAUGUAUUUAUGAAUAAGGAUCCCCCUAGGGCCCCUUUUAUAGGGUCUUUCGGGCGUUUCUCAUUCAUUACCAAUGGGGCUCACGCUAUUAUGGUUCCCUAUUAAAGGUGCCAUAAUGGCGUGGGCCAAGUCAAGUAACGGCUGGGAGUCGGCGACUCAGGUAUGGGAGUCGGCGACUCAGGGUGAAGCCAUCGAUUCCCCAUGAGCCAGGUUGGCAGCCUACAUGAACUGACCAACGAGGCGUGGAAUCGGUGGCUCACCUCUGGAGUCGGCGACUUGGUAGUCCCAGUCGUUGAUUCCCAGUGUUGACUUGAGUAUUUGACGUAGACACUUGCCCGCAACCGUGGAUCUCUCCGGAGGUCCGGCAUAAAGCGACGGAACCCUAGUCUUUGUUGAAAGGCGUUGCUGGGAGUGACUGACGUAAUCAGGCAUGUCUCACCAGUAGCUCUGACAGAUAAGCCAGUCUAGCUACUGAAUGUUUUUAUGACUUUGAAUAGUCCAAGUAACCCUGAAAUUAAAGAUGGACAGGAACAAUAUAUUGAAAUCCGAUGGAUAAAACGACGUGACCAUCACCCAGGGGGCGGUGUAGAUGCCCUCGAGCAACACUUGUUGAUCGACGGGAAUCUUUUGGGAUGGAGGGCCCCUAAGUUGUUGAUGUCUGAGAGACUAACUGACCCGGAGGAUUACCUACACUUAUUCCGUACAUGCAUGGACGAUAUGACAGACCUAAGGGAUAUUCGGUUCUAUAUAUUCCAGAGAAAAUAUGCAUGGUAAGGGACCACUCGAGAAGUCGGAUGGACCCUAGGUCCAAGGAUUACUCAAAGACCGUUCGAGCUAUUAGGCCAACACACCCGAAGACAAGGAAAUGUCCAGAGGGAGAGGUCGCUCGUAAAUUUGGAUGAAUCCUAGGUCCAUAGACCGAUUGAAUUUCGUACGACCUAUUGGGCCAAUACUCGAAGGCAAGGAAAUAUGCAAGGGGAGGGGCCGCUCGAAAAUCUAUACAGACCUAAGGUUCAUGAAGCCCUCGAAGGUGCUUUCGGUAGAAAAGCCAGACGGAGCAAGCCUCGUAUAUUAUUAGGGGUCCCCUCUGGGAUGGGGGCGUAGAGUGGGGAGAUUGGCGAGUAGAUCUUUUAACUUCCAAAAUGCCUUUUCGCAGGCUUCAAUCCAAACUAGUCUUUUGCCAUCCGUUUUUAGAAGAUGGAAAAAUGGGCGUAGGUGGUCUGCUCUUCUUGACAUGAAGCGGUUGAGAGUGGCUACCUUCUCGUUAAGCCUUUCUACUUUUUAUGGUUCUUGGUGGGGUCAUGAUCCUAACGGCUUCCGUUUAUUCUUUUCGUGCUUUUAUCCCAUCCGGAGUUAUCCAAAAUCCAAAGAAAUGGUUUUUUUUACCUUUAACUUCAGGCCCACCCUCCGUAUGUUAUCGAACGUUUCUUCCAGGUCUCGUAGAUGGUCUCCUAUUCUUUGUGAUCUGGCCAGUAAAUCAUCUAUAUAGACUUCAAUAUUUUUGCCGAUUUGACUUUCAAAAAUCCGAUCCAUCAAUCUCUGGAAGGUGGUCCUGGUGUUUUGGAGGCCAAACGACAUGAUUCAGAAGCAGAAGGUGCUCAUCUCGAUCACGAAUGACGUUUUUUCCUCGUUCUAUGUGAACAAGAUGGUUUUCAAUAUUCUUAUCCUCUUUCCCUCGGUUUUCCAAGUUAGGUCUGAUGCGUACGUACCUGGAAUGCCUCUCCCCUAGAUAUGGCCAAUAUCUUGUCCAUUUGUUCCUCUUGAGGCUCUUGUUUUGGGACCUUGUGCCCUGUUGGGAUGAUCGACCACCGUUCUUCCUAUCUAAGUGUAUGAUGGUGGUAGGGCAUUGGACGUUGAUCUCAAUCUAAUCAGCAGUUUGUCCAAGUCUAAGCAUUCUGUCAUUGUGCGGCCUCGAUCUUCGUGGUACUCAUAAUACUGAUUGUUAUCUAAUAAUUCUAUAGAAGACAAAAACUAGAGUUUAAGGAUUGAGAUAACAUUGAAGUGUUGAGAUAACACUGUUUUCUCACGACCAAUAAAUAAAAUAGUCACUGAUAUUUCCGUGGUCCUCGUUAUUUCUAUAAGAUGAUGAAUCAAUUAACCAAAUUGUAUCUGAUAUUCGUCUGAGUAUUAUAUACUUAUAGCUAUAGAUUACAUACUGUUAUAACCAAUUAUUAUCUAAAUAAUCCAUAGUUGCCUUAACUAAUUAUGCCAGCAGUGGAGCCACGUGGAUUCUCCAACACACCCCUUUCAUCCUUCAUAGAGUCCCACUGGAGCUUCGUCGACGAUAUUUUCUUGUAGGAUAGAAAAUCUUCUAAGUGGCAGUGGCUUGGUCAAAAUGUCCGCUCACUGCUCACGCCCGGGAAUGUGCUUAACGAUAAUGUCUCCGCUUUGUACCUUCUUGGGGAUGAAGUAGAGAUCAAGAGCUACAUAUGUUUGAGCUUUAUAUGCCCGAUUGGAUUUUUCGCAAUGAAAGUAGCUUCUAAGUUAUCCGAUAGACUCACCAUAGGUCGCGGCACCUCUACCCCCAACUCAAUCAGUGCUGAGCAAACCGCUUCUAUCUCCUGAGUCGUAGUGGCUAUCGCACGGUACUCGGCCUCCGUACUUGAUCGAGCCAGUGUGCUCUGUUUCCGAGAUACCCAUGAUACUAACGUUCCUCCCACGUACACUAAGAAUCCCGUGCGAUUUUUACGAUCGACCGUGUCCUCUCCCCAGUCGGCGUCACAAUACGCUGUGAUCCCGAAAUCGUUGACCCACCGUAGUACGAUCCCGUGCCUUUGAGUUCUGAAUAGGUAACACAAAACGCGCUUUACAACCACCCAAUGUACCAUCGUUGGUUCUGUCAUAAACUGGGCGAGCCGAUUAACCACAACCUGGACUUCCGGCCUUGUUAGAGUAAUGAAUUGUAACGACCCUAUAAUCCAUUGAAAUUCACCAGGGUCGUCGAUAACAGGUUCGUCUAAGCGAAGCUCGAUAUCUGCAAGCAUUGGAGUGGAGACGGCCUUCAGUUCCCCUAUGUUACAACUCCGGAGAAGAUUCAGAAGAUACUGGUUUGUGAUAAAUGUAACCCAUCCUUGACGUGCCUGACCUGGAUGCCAAGAAAAUAUUCCAGAGUACCUAGGUCGCGUAUGGAAAAUUUCGCGCCCAAUCUGUUUAUCACCUUCUUGACUUCUUCUUCAUUCGAUCCCACUAUUACUAUAUCGUCGACAUAGACGAACAAAAACAUUGUGAUUGAACUUUUCUGAUAAUUGAAUAACGAAGGAUCAACUGCAGAUUCCUUGAACGACAAUGUUCCCAAGAACCCACUCAAUUUUUGGAACCAACACCUCGGUGAUUGUUUAAGUCCAUACAGAGACUUAUAAAGGAGGCAGACCUUAUCAAGAUUUUGGUUAUCGAUAAACCCAUACGGUUGUGAAACAACAAUUCUCUCCUUGAGGUUGUCGUGUAGAAAAGCGUUUGACACAUCGACUUAAUGAAGCACCCAUCCUCUGGAUAUUGCCAAUAGUAACACCAGUCGAAUCGACAACGGACGAACAACCGGACUAAAAGUAUCAAAGUAGUCCACGCAGUGAAUCUGUCGUAACCCAUUAGCAACCAAACGCGCCUUGAAUCAUUAUACUGUUCUUUCUACCUUGGAUUUAACUUUAAACACCCACUUGGUGUUAAUUAUAUUGUCUUCUGGUAGACGCGGUACUAGGGUCCAUGUUUCAUUUUCUUGGAGUGCGUUGUAUUCUUUUACCAUGGCGUCCUUCCAUUGAGGAACAAGGAGAGCCGAUUUUGCAGACUUCGAGAUUGAAACCUCAUAUGUCGUUGUUGCCAAGGCGAACUUCGGAUUGGGUUUAAAGAUCCCAACGGAACUUCUGGUGACCAUAGCAGUACGCUGGUUCGAUGAUCAUCAGAUUCUUCAAAGUCAUUCUCAUUCAUCGGAAGAUCAGUAGCCACGGAGUACGAGUCCAGCUCAGCUGAUAUUCCCGUCAAUCGGUCAGGCACGUGUACCAAGUGUAAAAACCCUCAUGAAAUUAAAGUUAAAAAAAAAAAUAAAUAAAUAAAUAAAUAAAUAAAAGGAGUCUUGUUGGGUAAAUAUGUACUAAGGCCAAUUAAGCCAUUAAAUCAAGAUGUGGGGACAUGAGCCCUAAUUAAACUAUUAUAUAAUGGGAAGAUGUAGAGGUCUAGGAGGAGAGGAACGGAUGAGAAGGAAAAGAAGAGAAGAGAAAAGAAAAGAAGGAAAGGAAAUAAACCAAUCGAUCUUAAGGGGAGAUUUCGAUCUUGGUGUGGAGGAUGUGAGCUGAUCAAUAAGGUAUGGGUUUAGAAUAUGUUCUUAUGAUUUUCUGUAAAUCUUUGGGGUUUAAGUAGUAUGAUUCUAUUGAUAGAUAGAAAUAGAAACAUGAUUAGGUUAUGUGUUACAUGAAAUAGUUCAACAAGUGAUACAUAUAUAUCCAUUGAAGAUGGGAUGGAUUGAUAGGUGGAUUAGAGUAUGACCAUUUCUGAAAAAUCUGAUGAUAUUCAGAUAUUGGAGUUGGGUCCUUUCUACUGUUUGGUGUUGCAUUUUAUUUAGAAUUAAAUUUGCUGGAUUUAAUCUAAUUCUAUCAAAUUUUCAGAGAUUUGAAGGUGGGUGUUGUUGUCAUAAUUUUAAAGAUUUUAGAUAUUUUAUGAUUGAUUUCAUAACUAAUUCUUCGAAGAUUCCGUAGUAUUAUUAUCUUAUCUUUGUGAUUGAGAUUGAUUGUGAUUGUUCUCGAGUAUUGUCAUUUAUUCUGAUUUGAUUUUUAUUUUGAAUCGCUUAUUUUUUAAAAGUAUUCCACAGUUGUCGGGAGUAUUAUUAUGUGAUGAUUUAAUCCAAAAUAUUGUGAGUUUGUACUGUUUUGAGAAGGGCGAGUGAAGUAUUUUUUUUGGAUUUUAUUUGACAUUGAAUGAGGGAUUAGGGAGUCAUGAGUAUGAGUUUUCUCGGUCUUUAUAUUUUAUGUUUUCAUCGGUAAAAAUUCUGUUUUGAUGUUAAGUUCGAAGAAUGACGAUGUUGAAUGAUAUUAUGAAGGUCUAUAAAAUGGUAUGAGAAGCACGAUAUGACAUGCCACGAAUCUCAUGAUGAGAUAAACAAUAUGACAAGAAUUAGGCUACAAAUAGUCGUUAAAUAGUUUGUUUGAUUGUAGUUAUUGAUAUUUUUAUGAUUGUUUAUAGGUGAUAAGAAUGAAUACUGGUAUAUUAUUCCUUAUGUGAAAUCAUAGAUACAGAUUUCCAUACUGAGUCAGUUGAGACUCACCCAUUUUGCUUUGCUAUGUUGUAUCGUGUUAUAAAAUUUAUAGGAUGGGGAGGUUGAUGAAGCCACGUUGAAUGGAUACAGGAGGGUGGAGCAUAGUUAACAUCAUGAGUAGUGGUGCUUCAUCUUGAUGAAUAUUAUGAACUCCGUUGGUGCAUGUUUAUUAUUUAUAACAAUAUUCUAGAGUCUUACUAGUAAAUGAUGGUGUUCUGGACUUUAUUCACAAAUUUUGAACUUUUAUUUUAUUGACAUAUUAUUAUGUUGAUUCUCGACAUUAGGAAAAGUACAACAUGUUUGUUUGUUUUCACCUGAUGGUUUAAAUGUUCAGAUUGAUAUUAUUAACAUCCCAUGUUACACCAAGUCAUCUUAUCGUAAGAGGAUGUUACACCAAGUCAUUCUGAUUUUGACUUUUUGUUAUCUCAUGUUGGCUUAUCCCAGUAGGUGAACUGUUGUUAUCGGUCUGGUCAGACUCCAUGCUAUUACCUUGGAUUGAUUCCACCGAAACCGUUAUUGGUAAAAUCCCCAAAUCAGGUAUUAUUUUCACCCAAAUUAAUUUUUGUAGAAAUAUCAUCUCGGUCCCCAAAUACUUCUUUGUUUAAGGAAAAGUCCUCCUCGCCAAACUUGACGUCCCGAGAAGCGUAAAUCCUCCGGCUGAUCGGCUAAAAAAAUAGGUAACAUUCUCGGGUCAUGGAGUAACCUACAAAUAUGCAUUUAGCCGAUUUUGCUUCCAGCUUGUUCUUCCGAUACAGACGAAUACAGGGAUAGCAACUGCUCCCGAAGACUCGAAAUUUCGAAUAUUCCGGUGCCUUCCCAAAUAAGCUUCCAUUGGAGAUUUCCCGGAUAAUAGCAAUGUGGGGUUCAUGUUGUACAAGUAGCAUGAUGUUAGCGCCCCAUAGUCCCAGAACUGAUUGGGUAGAUUGGCGUGAUGCAACAUUGUAAAGGUUGUGUUGAUUAUGUGCCAAUGUCUUCUUUCUACUUGACCCAUCUGUUGGUGCGAGUAUGGGGCGGACAUCCGAUGAGAAAUACCCAAUUCCUACAGUCUUUUUCCAAACUUUUGGUAUUCCAUUGUAUUAUCGGUUUGUAUAGCUAGAAUUUUGCCUCCACAGUGCCUCUCUGCCCACGUCCAAAAAAAUUCGAAUACCUGAUACAGAUCAGACUUUCUUGUAACUAGAUAGAUCCAAUUAAAAUGAGUGCCGGCGUCUACAAAACUGAUAUAAUACGAGUAACCUUCUACUGAAAUUAUGGGAGCCGGUCCCCAAACAUCCGAGAAAAUGAGUUCUAGCGGUUUGUAAAUCGUUGAGCGAGAAGAGUGAGGGAGAGAGUGAGAUUUGCCAAGCUGACAUGAGUUACAUAGUUUGAAUGCCUUAAAACCCAAUUUUAUUAGACCUUGUUUCUCCAAUACAGACAUAUAAGACGAAUUUAAAUACCCCAGACGGCAAUGCCACUAGUAAUGGGCAGGCAGAUUUUCGCACAAAUUUAUAGAUUUUGUGCUUGGUUCGAUGAUCAUCGGUAACUCGUGCAAUCCCCUGUUCGCCACCCCUUCAAGCAGCACCAUUUUAGUAGCCGAGUCCUUCACUCGUACCUUCUGUGAAUCAAAUUCAACACAAACAUUGUUAUCAAUACAAAAUUUGUUUACUGAUAAUAAAUUCCAAUAGCCAAGGGGACUAGCAGUAAAUCACGAAAAACAAAAUUAUUGGAAUCGGAGAUAGCUUUGCUCUGAUCGGAAUAAAAAUUGAUAAUAGACUGCCAUCUGCUGUGAAAAUAUUACCAUUGUAGGCUCUUGGACACUAGAUAUUUUCUGAUGACGCGGUGAUGUGUGAUGUGGCCCUUGAAUCGGGGUACGACAUCGUGACUGUGCCAGAAGAUGUCGCUACCAGAUUUUCCGAAGUCUGAGUUCGUGUGCUCCCGUUCGGACCGAGUGAUGAUAAUACCCUACCGUGCAAAGCCGGAUAGCGGUCAAAAUUCAAACGAUUGUAGCAAUCCGCGGCGCUAUGCCCUUUCCGCGUGCAGAUUUGACAUUGGAUAUCCGAUCUAGGCGAUCUCUGACUGUUGGCGGGAUGAGUAACCUUGGUAGCAAUAUUUACCACAACGGAAUUUGUGGAUCUUGAUUUUUCCAGACGGAGAUUGUGGUCCAUCAAUAGUUUGCACACUCCGGAGAACGUCAGAUCUGGAUUAAACGGAGUUGUUAUUGCAGUUACAAACGAUUCAAAUUCAUCUCCCAAUCCACCCAAAGUGAUUAAUAUUAUUUCCGAUUCCUUUAGUCCCUCCCCAGUAGAUGCGAGAGCGUUUUUUAGGAUGGAAAUUUUGGAAAAGUAGUCUUCAAUGCUUAAGCCCCCUUUCCGAAUCGACUGAAGAUGAAGGCGAAUGUGAAGCUGCCGCGCAUGCGUUCCAGAAGCAUAUAGCAGACCAUCCCAAAUCUCUGCCAAAGUCUUCCGCGAUGCUACCUGAGGAAGAGUGGUUAUUGAGAUGUUGGUCAGUGUCCAGCUCAGGAUUAAUUGAUCCUGCUGGAUUGAUGAUGGCGACGAUAACUCCACUCUUCCCAGAACAUAGUCAAAUAUAACUGGAAACCCUGAAGCAUCACAAAAAACUGCACUUCCCAUGAGUAGUAAUUGCUCUUAUCGAGUUGUAUGCACUUCAUCGGCUUCAUAACAAUCUUCGUUGAUGAAGACUGUGCGCGAGCAUCGAUGGUGGCCGGAAAACGGCCUGAAUUUGCAACGGAAACUCUUUCGGUUGUCAUGAUUCUAAAUCCAAACUACUGAUACCAUAUAAGAUGAUGAAUCAAUUAACCAAAUUGUAUCUGAUAUUUUUCUGAUUAUUACGUACUUAUAGCUACAGAUUACAUACUGUUAUAACCGAUUAAUAUCUAACUAACUCAUAGUUGCCUUAACUAAUUAUGCCAGCAGUGGAGCCACGUGGAUUCUCCAAUAGUUUUUUAUUAUUUUAAAAAGUUAGUCANNNNNNNNNNNNNNNNNNNNNNNNNNNNNNNNNNNNNNNNNNNNNNNNNNNNNNNNNNNNNNNNNNNNNNNNNNNNNNNNNNNNNNNNNNNNNNNNNNNNCAUAUUUUCUCUGGAAUAUAUAGAACCGAAUAUCCCUUAGGUCUGUCAUAUCGUCCAUGCAUGUACGGAAUAAGUGUAGGUAAUCCUCCGGGUCAGUUAGUCUCUCAGACAUCAACAACUUAGGGGCCCUCCAUCCCAAAAGAUUCCCGUCGAUCAACAAGUGUUGCUCGAGGGCAUCUACACCGCCCCCUGGGUGAUGGUCACGUCGUUUUAUCCAUCGGAUUUCAAUAUAUUGUUCCUGUCCAUCUUUAAUUUCAGGGUUACUUGGACUAUUCAAAGUCAUAAAAACAUUCAGUAGCUAGACUGGCUUAUCUGUCAGAGCUACUGGUGAGACAUGCCUGAUUACGUCAGUCACUCCCAGCAACGCCUUUCAACAAAGACUAGGGUUCCGUCGCUUUAUGCCGGACCUCCGGAGAGAUCCACGGUUGCGGGCAAGUGUCUACGUCAAAUACUCAAGUCAACACUGGGAAUCAACGACUGGGACUACCAAGUCGCCGACUCCAGAGGUGAGCCACCGAUUCCACGCCUCGUUGGUCAGUUCAUGUAGGCUGCCAACCUGGCUCAUGGGGAAUCGAUGGCUUCACCCUGAGUCGCCGACUCCCAGCUGUUACUUGACUCGGCCCACUCCAUUAUGACACCUUUAAUAGGGCACCAUAAUAGCGUGGGCCCCACGGGUAAUGAAUGAGAAACGCCCCAAAGACCCUAUAAAAGGGGCCCUAGGGGGGUCCUCAUUCAUCAACACAUCCCCUCCACAAACAUUUGACACACACUCCAACCAGAGCAACUAAGGAGCCCGAGUCGCCGACUCCCACACCUGAGUCGCCGACUCCCCUCCUCUAUGCAGAUACAUUGACGUAGAGCGCGCGUCGUGGACUCCAAAGCCUCCGACCCUCCUCGCAACCUCGCGAGCCUACUGGUAGAAGAUUUCGUGCUUCAUCAGCUGACGCCGUCUGUGGGACUAUCGAACUACGGUAUCCCGUCGUAAUCGCGAAAUUUUCUUCGCAAAGUUCGGCUCGAUUCCCUUCAGGAAAAUAGAAAAUCAUCGACUCCACCUAGUGAGUCUCCGAUUCUGGGUUAUUCUGCUAGCUAAGAGUGCUGUCCUCGACUCGGCUCGAAAGAUAAAAAACCUAAGGCCAAUCGCCGACUCCACCUGUUGAGUCGCCGAUUCCACUUGGUUUCUUUCGAGUUAGUUCUGUCAAUACCUGCGCUUCGGUUGGAAUUCGCUUUUGUCAUCCAUGACUUCUGAAAGGCAAAAGCACGAUUACCAUUUGAGGAACAAAGGCAAAUCCUCAGUGGCACCCGAUAGGGCACAAACUGAGCAUCCUCAGCAAAACAGGCAAGCUGAAAGGUUUGAGGAUGCUCAAACUGGUUUGCCCCCUCGGACAUCCAUCCCUCCCGCUCUAGAAGCGAGGUUGAUUAACUUCUUGGAGAACAUGGAGCAAAGAGUUAACAACCUCGAGAAAGCGAGGAGUCAGAGGACCAUCGCCCGCGAAGGAGCGGGUGAAUCGGCCUCUCACAAUUCUCCGUGUGCGGAGAAAAAGAAAGGUCCAGAACCACAAAAAUCAAGAGCUGAAUCUAGUAAGAGUCGCACUGAAAGGACUCUUAUAACACGUUUCAUGGAGGACCUCCGUCGGAAGCUAGCCAACAAUCCGGUCGCCAGCGGUCCGAUCGAAUUCCUGAGAGUCAAAAGCGCUCCUUUCCAAGAGGACCUUUUGAAGGUGUCCUUUCCACCAACCUGGCGGGUACCCAGAAUAGAGUCGUAUGAUGGUUCAGGUGAUCCAAAAGAUCACGUCAACCUCUACCUUAAUGUUCUGGAACCACAAACCACCGACAACGCACUGCUGUGUCGAGCAUUCCCCGACACUCUCAAGGGAAGUGCCUAUCGGUGGUUUUCCGGUCUGCCAGCUGGAUCAAUCUCCAGCUUUGCGGACCUCUCAUCCAAGUUCAUCGCCCAAUAUGUGGGGAUGAUUAGGAUCAAAUACAGUGCCAAUGCACUGCUGGCACUACGACAGAACAAGCUGUCGUUAAGGGAUUACACGAUUAAGUUCACUUCAAUGAUGACAGAAGUGAGCGACUUAAUCCCGAGUCUAGCCAUAGCGGGGUACACGAAUGGGCUAGUACCCUACUCCCCUUUGACCCUGAAACUUACGCUCCAUAAAGUGGAGACAUUACCCGAUCACUUCCAACGAGCUCAAUCAUUCAUUGAGGUGGAAGAGCAGAAUGAAAACAAGCUAGUGGAACUUGAGAGCAAUAGCUUCAAAAAACCAAAGUUCGAGAAGAAGGGCUACAGUGAGAAGAACAAUUUUCAUGACUCCUCGAACAGAUACACUGACAAUGCAGUUGAUUCCUUGAAAAAGGAAUGGAAGCCCAGACACGAUAACAAGGUGUAUCAAACCUCCACCAAACAAUCGCCAAAGGGUCCACCUCAACCAUGGAAGGAUCGGACCCCGCUAACAAUCAGCAAAGGCGAGCUGUUUGAGAAACUGAAGUACCGAGCGGAUCUGUCCGCUCCUCACUCUAUGGAUCCUGCAACCAAGGAUAGCCGUCAAAAAGGUGGAAGAUUCUGUAAAUUCCACAAGGACCACGGCCACCUGACGGAUUAUUGCAGGGAGUUCUCGCUUUAUGUCGAACAACUGAUCUCGAAAGGUGAACUUGACAACUUUGUCAAAGGAUCUCGAGGUCGGAAUGAUUGCAAGUCUGACACAAAGGGGAAGCGUCCACGCUCUCCUUCGCCAGACUGCGACAGUAGCGAGGACAACCCACGGAAAACCAUCAGUAUGAUAUUUGGUUGUGGAUCCAUUGGAAGGCUAGUAUAACUGAGAGGAAUAGACCAAGGAAUAAGUUGUCAUGCAAAGGUCCCUACAUCUGGCACACAGACAAUAUGCAGUAAUACUACGCUUAGUAUUGAACACAUUAUUCCUUAGGGCCUCUUAGUAUAUAUGUUAGUACAAAUUACAAAGUAGAAUAAUUAGAUUUUACCUUUGUAAUUCUUAUUUCAAUAAAGUUGACAUUUGUUGCAAAAUCAUCUACCUACGACUCUAACUAGCACCCCACCUUAUAAAUCUAUUUUGUCGCUAUAGCCUUAAUAGAUUAAAAUCGUUUUGAUACUUUGGACUUAACGAUUCAACCCAAUCUUGUCGCUUCAGCCUUGAUGUGGGUCCAAAAGUUACUCUGUCGCUACGGCCAGAGUUCAACUACACAUUAGGGUCUAAAGUGUAGAGUCGUAGGUAGUUGAUAGGUACAAGUGAACCCAACCCCAAGAGGUUCUAAGUACCCACCACACUUACCAGAAUCUAUUAUGUCGCUAUGGCCUUAAUAGAUUAAGAAUCGUUUUGUCGCUAUAAGCCUUAACAAUUCAACCCCAUCUUGUCGUUACGACCUUGAUGAGGGUAAAAAGUUACUACGUCGCUUCAGCCAGAGUUGAAGUACAUAUUAAGGAAUCUAAAGUCUUAGGAUCGAAAAAAGUUCUAAGUGCUUACGUCACUUAGUCUAGAAAAUUCUAAGUCUUGGCUAAAAUUCCCAACAAGUUUUUUGUAUCUCCAACUCACUACGUCAAUUAGUUUUGCGAGUCUUGAUUAGUUGUGAAGUUUAAUUUAUUUCACGAGUUUAGUCGUAGACUGAGCUACGAUUCGUACGACUAAGACUACGCCCAGAGUGGCUAGCGAUAGAGUUAGCAGAGUCUAAUUUACGUCCAGAUCGGCUAAAUUAUGACUUGCUAGUUUCGGGUCUUAGUUACAAUUCAAAAAAUAAAUUAAACAAACAAUUAAUUUGGAAAGCGAAAUAGUUGAUAUUAAGUUCCAAAAGAUUACAAAAAACAUAUCAAAAACUACAAGCUAAGAAGAAAUAAAAAAUCUCUAAUCUUCUUCGUCAUUCUUUAGCUUGUCGAGGGCAUCCUUGUUUUUCUCUUUCUCUUCGGGAUGCUCGUCUACCCAUGUCAUGAUAUCCAAGAUAAAGUCUUCGGGUAGUGACGGAAACACUGAGGUACCAAAGAAGCUAAGUUCUUGGAGUUGAUCGGAUUGAUACUUUUUAUCCAACUCCAAGUCCUUAGCCUUCUCCAGAAGUGCGGAGUUCUCCUUCUUCAACACGGAGUUCUCCUUCUUCACAUCUUCCAACUCCUCCUUAGAGCAAGUGAGUUGGUCAUUUAGCUCAUCGCACUUCCUCUCCAUCUCAGAGUUAGUGCUCCUCAGAUUCGCAUUUGUGGCUUCAGAUGAAACCACAUUUCCAAUCUCCAUCUCCAGUUGGGCUCGCAUGUCAUCUAUUUGCUUAGAGGCAUCCUUCUUUUCUUUGCGGAGUCCCAGAAUCUUCGCAACAUAAUCAUCUAUUUCCUUUUUUCUGGGACUCAAUCGUCUUCUCCUUUUUUGGGAUGACGUUGUCUCUAAGAUUCUCGAAUUUUCUUUGGACAUGGGCCAGUUUGCCCAGCUGUUUCUCACUACGCUUGUACUUGGCGUCCAAUUCAUUGUAUUGGCCUUGAAUCUUCUGGACGUCAUUUAUCGAGUCCAUGCCAAAGCAAGCAUGGGCCAUGUAGCAAGUCUACAUUAAAAAAAAACACAAAACAAAUUAGCAAACAAAAAAAUAUAUAGGUAAAAAGAUGUUUUCGGAAGAUAGAAGCACAUACAGCAUUCAGAGCUGUCAUGAGCUCACUCCGAACCCAUCUUCCAGAUUUCGCCAUUAAGAUGGACAUGGCAUCCGACCUGACUUGUGGAUCAGCCAUAAAGUCCGGAAGGGGCAUGCCACUCGUAUAGGGCGCGAAACCAGUCCGCUCAGGUACGUCUCAAGAGCUUGUGCCCCUCUCAAAUGUGCUCGGGACCUUGGGAGCUUUGGCCUUCUUUUCCAGUCUGACCAGCUUCGCCCGUCGAUAUCUCACGGCCAUGUGCGGAGCGGCAGCAUCAAAAUAUAGAAGUGUUCGCUUCUUCCCGCUCACCAUCUCUUCAUCUGUGGAAGGUUUCUGAACCUCCACAACAUCUUCAAAUGUGAAGUCCUCACGCUGGUAGAGGACAAAAGGCACGCCACGGGGAAGGUGGUGAGCUUUCAGGGCCUGGGAUAUCUUGGUGACGGCGAUCACAUCAUCCGCCAUCAAGCCCAGAUUCACACUCAGCUUCGCACAAUUCGGAUCAGCCCAAACUUCCUGACUCCCGGGAAGAAACUCAGAAUUAACAAAAAUGAACUCCUUCUUCCACACUCCAUGGUUAGUUGGAAGAUCAUCGACCAAGUUACGAUCGAGGUUUCGUCGCGCCAACCCGAGACGACCCGAUCCAACCUUCCCAUCCUUGCACAACUUGUAGUAGUUGAGGAAGAGGUAUGGGGUGGGGGUAACACCUAGACUCCAACAAACGUUGAGGAACCCUCUCAACGUCACAAAUAAUCCCACUGGUAGUUGUGUCAACGAGACUUCAAAAGCAAGCAACAAUUCACUCAUGAGCUCCGGAAUGGGAAGCUCAGGGAAAUGCUUGAAGUACAUCUUGGGUAGAGCCUGGAACCCCGGUGGUGGAAGGUUCGCAGGCUGGUAUUGUGACAUCCAAAAGCAGAGAUGUCCAGAAAUCUUCAUCGCCCUCAAAAGAUCUCGAGCCUUUUUUGCACUGAGGAUGGAGAGGGGAUGCACUUCAGAUUAACGCGUAAGCGUCGCCACAGUCAUAACUUGUUCAAAUCGACUCUCGCCCGAGCGGUCGACAGGGAGCAGUUGCGUCACGCCAUUGACAUACGUUUCACAAUGCGCAUAUCCGGUCAGAUUCACGACCCCAGUAUAGUUUGGGAGAUCAGCAUAGGGAUCUCGACCUAAAUCCAUCUCGACUGGAGAUGGAGGAGUUCUCUCUCUUUCACGACGACCCUCAUCUGGAGCAGGGUCGGAAAUUCCACGAUCAAUGACGAGUUCCUCGUCGAAGUUUACAUUAUGAGGAUUCUCGGCCUCCUCUUGGCCAGACACAUAGAUUUUGCCUUUACCAUGGCCUCGUCGUCUCUUCUUCUUUUUUGAACCAACGUCCUGAGAUGGUCGCUUAUUAGGGUUCACCCCAGACACGAUGACACCCUCGGAAUUCACCAUCAGUGGCGCAGUAGUUGAAUUAUCCACUGUUUGAAUGGGAAUCGCCGACUCAUCUACCAGAGUCGUCGAUUCAACUGGCCUAGUCGCCGACUCAUAACGAAUGUUUGAGGCCUCAGAGUCGGUGGCCAACUUUUCCCUCCUCUUGAAGGAAGUCUUCUUCUUUGAAACCCUGGGAAUCGGCAACCCCGAAGAGGGAAUCGUCGACUUACCAGGGAUUUCUCCCUACUCAGCCCCUGGCAUGACUUCCGGAACCUUGUCAGGAAUCGUCGACCCCACAGAGGGAAUCGUCAACCCAGCCAGAGGCUCCAACAGCUCGUGCACAGAAGCACUCAAAUGAUCAUCAGAGGAUGGAACAACCGGAAUCGACGAUUCAACGUCUCUGGGAGGAGACGGAAUCGGCAACUCGACGGCAUUUAACACCUCGACGAGUGUUUCAUCAGACAUCUCCGCUACCAUAGCGGCGGCCUCGGCAUCAGUAAGGUGAGGAUUAGUUCUUGCCAUCUCUCAGAGUCGUCAAUUAAAGUUGAAUUGAACUGGGGAAUCGGCGACAAAAGGAUCUAGGGUUUUGAUACGCGAUUCGAAUUGGGGAAAAGUGGAGUGAGAAGUGUGAAACGCUCACCACUAUUUAUAGCCCUUGGGAAAAUUGCAAAAACCCCUUAGAAAAUCCAAAAAUUGCAAGGGAGGGAAUCGGAAAUCGAUCUCCAAAUCCCUGAAAUCACGCCCGAGUAGACGAUCGUCGAUUCCGGUGGCUAUUUCGCAUAUUUGUGAGAUAUGUUUCCUUAAUUGGAAAAUCUGCAAAAAUUUUCCAAAUAUCUUCAAGGAUCUUCUGAUGGAUCCUACGUUUCGCAAUCAGGAGUCGACGAUUCCCAUGCAAAAAUUCUCCAAAUAUCUCCAAGGAUCUUCUGAGAGAUCCUACGUUCCACAAUCAAGAGUCGACGAUUCUCAGAGGGAGUCGCCGACUCAAGAGGGAAAAUUUCAAAACAACCCUCACAGUUAGUCAGUUACCCAAAACUUAGGAGUCGACGAUUGGGGCACCCAGUCGCCGACUCAGGGUAUCACAUUUUCAGAAGGGAAUAUUGGUGAGACAUGCCUGAUUACACCAGUCACUACCCAUCAACGCCUCUCAACAAGGACUAGGGCUCCGUCGCUAUGGCAGGACCCCUGGAGAGCUCCCACGGUGCGGAACACGUUCAUCGUCCAGAUCGCCGAGUUAGCCCGUAAAGUCGCCCGAUUGGACUACCAAGUCGCCGACAUACAGGAUAACUCGCCGAGUUAAGGCAAGAUCGGCAGUAUGGUAGACUGCACAUCUUGGCCCUAGAAACUCGCCGAGUUAGCCCUUAACUAGGCGAUUUCCAUACCUGAAUCGGCGACUUACGACCGUUACUCGGCGGCAGCCAACGUCAUAAAUGUUACCAUAUAUGACCAUAGGCGCGAUCUCCGCCGUUGAGUGCGCCCUCCGAGACCCUAUAAAAAGGGUCCCAAGGGGACAUUCAAAGGCACGAUUCAAGUUCCACUCUCACACCAGAGCACCACUACGAAACUCGCCGAUUCUCACUAGAAUCGCCUAGUUUCCACUUGCAGGUAUUUGACGUAGAGCGUGCGUCGUGGACUCCAAAGCCUCCGGCAUCAACCUCGCACCACCGCGAGCCCUGGUAGCAGAUUCAGUGCUUCAUCAAGUAUCACAAACUCUCCCCGACACUUCUGCCGCUUCGGCCAAAAGUCGUCGCAUUUCAAGAGAGAGUAUCACAAGCUCUCUCCAGCAUCAGGGUUCAAAAUUGCAAAGGCAACCCUCGAGUUUCGAAUAUUUUUUAGUUUCGAAUACUCAAGUACUUCGAAAACCACUCAUUCCAACGAUUAUGUGUCGCAAAGGCACGAUUUUCGAGGGAGAGUAUCACAAGCUCUCCGACACUUCUGUCGCUUCGGCCAGAAGUCGUCACAUUUUGAGGGGGAGUAUCACAAGUACUCCCGACGCUUCUGUCACUUCGGCCAGAAGUCGUCACAUUUUGAGGGUAGUAUCGCAAACUCUCCUGACACUUUUGUCGCUUCGGCCAGAAGUCGUCACAUUUCGAGGGGGAGUAUCACAAGUACUCCCGAUGCUUCUGUCGUUUCGGGCAGAAGUCGUCACAUUUCGAGGGGGAGUAUCACAAACUCUCCCGACACUUCUGUCGCUCCGGCCAGAAGUCGUCAAAGUAUCUUGAGCACGGUAAAAUCUGUCGCUUCGGUAAGAUUUACCAAGGAUCAAUUUGAGCAAAGGAGAAGCAUCAAGGAAGGUAAAAUCGCACGGUAAGUUCAAUAAGUAAAUAAAAUAUGCGUUUUGGACUGAUCAAGUUGUUUUGCAGGAUGUUUUCUUUUUUGCAGGAAAGGUUCUAAUAGUGAACCAGACUCUGAUAGUGAUUCAGACUCUGAUAGUGAGUCAAUCUAUUUUGUCGCUUUGGCCUUAAUAGAUCCAGGUCCACUUUGUCGCUUUGGCCUUAAUGGACCAAGAAUUAUGUUGUCGCUUUGGUCUCAAUAAUUCUUCUAUCUCGUCGCUUUGGCCUUGAUAAACUUGGAGAUCAUUUCGUCGUUUUGGCCUUAAUGAUCUCGACCCAUCUUGUCGCUUUGUCCUAUGGGGUAACCGUUGUUGCGGACAUAAAGUCGCUCUUGAUCAGGGUGGACUAUAAACACCAGUUCUGAUAGUGAACUAGGUUCUAAUAGUGAACCAGACUCUAAUAGUGAGUCAUACUAUGAUAGUGAGUCAAUCUAUUUUGUCGCUUUGGCCUUAAUAGAUCCAGGUCCACUUUGUCGCUUUGGCCUUAAUGGACCAAGAAUUAUGUUGUCGCUUUGGCAUCUAUAAUUCUUCUAUCUCAUCGCUUUAGCCUUGAUAAACUUGGAGAUCAUUUCGUCGCUUUGCCUUAAUGAUCUCGACCCAUCUUGUCGCUUUGGCCUAUAGGGUAACCGUCGUUGCGGAAUCCACGCAUUCUGUCGCUCUUGAUCAGGGUGGAUUAUAAACACCAGUUCUGAUAGUGAAUCCACGCAUUCUGUCGCUUCGGCCAGAAUCCACACAGCAAAAGUCGCUCUUGAUCAGAGUAGGAUUAUAAUCACGUAGUUCCGUUGGCCUAGAACUAGAUUCUGACAGUGAAUCAAUCCAUCUGAUAGUGCAUGGAUCACGCAGAGUCAUUGUGUCGCUGUGAACGCAAUGACUCGAUCCCAUCUUAUCGCUUUGGCCUUGAUGCGGAUGAUCUUGCUUGGGGGGGGGAUACUAGCGGUACACGCAUGUUUCUUGUGCUCUCUUCAGGGGGGAGUACUGGUAAGACAUGCCUGAUUACGUCAGUCACUCCUAGCAACGCCCUUCAACAAGGACUAAGGUUCGUCGCUUUAUGCCGGACCCCCGGAGAGAUCCACGGUUGCGGGAAAGUGUCUACGUCAAGUACUCAAGUCAACACUGGGAAUCGGCGACUGGGACUACCAAGUCGCCGACUCCAGAGAUGAGCCACCGAUUCCAGGCCUCAUUGGUCAGUUCUGGUAGGCUUCCAACCUGGCUCAUGGGGAAUCGAUGGCUUCACCCUGAGUCNNNNNNNNNNNNNNNNNNNNNNNNNNNNNNNNNNNNNNNNNNNNNNNNNNNNNNNNNNNNNNNNNNNNNNNNNNNNNNNNNNNNNNNNNNNNNNNNNNNNNNNNNNNNNNNNNNNNNNNNNNNNNNNNNNNNNNNNNNNNNNNNNNNNNNNNNNNNNNNNNNNNNNNNNNNNNNNNNNNNNNNNNNNNNNNNNNNNNNNNNNNNNNNNNNNNNNNNNNNNNNNNNNNNNNNNNNNNNNNNNNNNNNNNNNNNNNNNNNNNNNNNNNNNNNNNNNNNNNNNNNNNNNNNNNNNNNNNNNNNNNNNNNNNNNNNNNNNNNNNNNNNNNNNNNNNNNNNNNNNNNNNNNNNNNNNNNNNNNNNNNNNNNNNNNNNNNNNNNNNNNNNNNNNNNNNNNNNNNNNNNNNNNNNNNNNNNNNNNNNNNNNNNNNNNNNNNNNNNNNNNNNNNNNNNNNNNNNNNNNNNNNNNNNNNNNNNNAUAAAUGAUUGUAUUGUCGAAUAAUCGAUAAAUGGUUGGAUCGAUAUAUUUUUAAAUGAAUGGUUAAUAUAUAUUUGGAUGAAUGGUUGAAUAUAUAUUUGGAUGAAUGGUUAAAUAUAUUUUUGGAUGAAUUGUUAAAUAUCGUUUUGGAUGAAUGGUUAAAUAUAUUUUUUAAUGAUUGACUUAAUAUAUGUUUAGAUAAAUGUAUAUUAUAUAUAUUUUUUAUUGUAACAGGUUAUAUGAAUGAGUUUUUGUAAGGUCCUAAUGGAAACCCAUGUAAAACAAAAUUAUUAUUUUUUCGCCUUAAAAAUUUGCGACCAACUAGUUUGUCGCUAAGUGUAAUUCAUCCAAAAUUUUGUUUGGUCUUAAAAAUCUAAAUACUAGUAAAUAACGACCAACCAGGUGUUCGCCUAUAAUUUCGCGUCAAAUUUUUGUGGCCAACCAUGUUGGUCGCCCUUAUGUUGGAGGAAAUGUAUGUGACCAACCAAGUUCGUCACCCUUAUGUUGACGCCAAAUUUUUGUGACCAACCAAGUUGGCCGCCCUUAUGUUGGCGCCAAUUUUUUAGGACCAACGAAGUUGGUCGCUUUUAUGUUAGCGCCAAUUUUUUGCGACCAACCAAGUUGGUCGCCCUAAUGUUGGCGCUAAAUUGGUGCGAUCAAACAAGUUCGUCACCCUUAUGUUGGCGCCAAAUUUUUGGGACCAACCAAGUUGGUCGCCCUAAUGUUGGCGUCAAAAUUUUUGCGACCAACCAAGUUGGUCACCCUUAUAUUGGUGCCAAAUUUUUGGGACCAACCACCCUUUGUUGGUGCCAAAAAUUUGGUCAGAUUUAGAUUUAUUGAGCGACCAACCAAAUUGGUCACCUUCAAGAGACCAACUCAAAAAGUUGGUCGCUUAUAGAUCACUAGCGACGGGGUUUCUUACGACUAACGUAGUGACCAAAAAGUCGAUCAUUUUUUUCUAUAAACGACCAACUUAUGUCUUUUUGCGACCAACUUGGUUGGUCGUAAAGAAAGCCUUUUUCUUGUAGUGUAGAGAGCCACUAGAUUUGGAUGUAGAUAGUUGCAUGUUGGGUUAUAGUGUCACCAUAACCCAAUCUCCUACUAUAAGUAUUGUUUCUCUUCUAGAUUUCUCUGCCAAGUCCUUCAUAUAUUAUCGUGAUUUUUUUAGGCAUGAUUUUACAGUAGACUUGAUGAUAUCUUCUCUUCUGUUUAAUUCAGAUUAUACAACUUCUAGAGAGGAUGAUUUUCUUAUAAUUAAAUGACGGUACGCAAGAGGGAUCACAGGUUACGUUCCUCCAGUAGAUACACUACUCCCAAGACACGAUAGGCUAGACAAGCUAGCAGAUCCCCUACUCAGACGAGACAGAGAAGAUCCCUUACUACCAGGAGACAAUGAGAUUGAUAAGAUAGAUACCGGUAUUGGAAUAUAUAUGAUAUAGAUAAUUCAAUAUAUAUUUAAUAUACAAAAGUAGUAACAAGAUAACAAACCCCACUCACAUAAUUGUGGGUUUGUUAUCCUCAUGUGUAUAUAAAUACCUCUCUUAUACUCAAGGCAAUUACAACAUUAUUUGCCCAAAAUCCUACCUCCACACUUACUUCUCAAAACGUUGGUUUCUCCAUGGCCUUCUUUGGUUCAUCCUCAUUCUCCAUAGACAACCAAUCCAACAUGGUAUCAUCCGCCGAUGUCGAUCCUGUGGCUUCAUCAAACGCAAAUCCGCUGCAUUCCACAAUACCGAUCGAUCAUCCUUCAUUGAUAAUUCCAGCAAUUGCUGAUCCAAAUGGAUCCAAUCUAGCAAUGCUCCCUCAACCAAUGUUGGCUGGAUCCCCAUCUUUUGAAUCCAUCCAGAGUUUCCUCCAUAUCAAACUAUCGCCAACAAACUACCUCUUAUGGAGGAUGCAAUUCAAUCCAUUACUAAAUUGCUUUGAUCUGAAAUCUAUGAUUGAUAAAUCAAUCUCCUCCUCUCCUACGCCCUCCCUUCAAUGCCCGAUCUAUAUGGCUUGGUGGCGUAAGGACCAACUAUUGAUAAGUUGGAUUUUAUCCUCUUUAUCGGAGGAGGUGCUCCCCACGGUGUUGGGACUCGAAUCUGCCGCUGCAAUCUGGGAUGCUCUAGCAAUGUCCUAUGGGCGACCAUCGGAGUUGCGAAUUAUCCAACUUCAAAUGCAGCUACAGAACACCAAACACGCCGCCGGCGAGGACGUUUCCGUUUUCCUCCGGCGAGCCAAGCUCCUGGCCGACGAACUGGCAGCGGCUGGAGCAUCCGUUCCCACCCGCAUCUUCAACGCGACCAUCUACAAUAAUCUGGGACCAGACUUCGGCGAAGCAGUGCCUGUUCUUUGUCAGAUUAUUUUGGAGCAGCAGAGUAUUGUUGUGGCUGCUCGGAAAACCUUGUUCGAGGAGUGGUCUGUUGGAGAACUUUCUCUUAGGGAACCUGCUAUGGUUGCGAGACGUGGUCACCGUCGGAGGCGUUCCAGUUGUGCUAGAUGUCCCAUAGUUGAUGUUCUUAGACGGCUUUACCGUCGUAUCAACUUUAAUUAGAAACUUGUAUUGAUAUAUUCUUUUAAAUAUCGACAUGUAUUACGAAAUGUCGAGUUGUUUCUCUUUAUUUUUUGAUCGAGAAAUCGAGCCGUGUUGUAGACUUGUUUAAGAUGUCGAGCCUUUAAACGUCGACUGACGUUCAAAUCUCGCAUUAUGAUUCUCACAUCUACGGGUCCAGAUGUCAAGCUGCAUUUACAAAAUGUCGAGCCUUCGAGCAUCGACCGAUGUCAAAAUCUCGCGUCGUGAUUUUCAAACCUACGGUCCANNNNNNNNNNNNNNNNNNNNNNNNNNNNNNNNNNNNNNNNNNNNNNNNNNNNNNNNNNNNNNNNNNNNNNNNNNNNNNNNNNNNNNNNNNNNNNNNNNNNUGGGAGGGGAAACGGAUCUGGUUCUGGUCGUGGAUCUGGAUCUGCCUCCACCUCAACGUACAAUGAUUACACCAGUGCGAGCGGAAGUGGUGGAGGUGGUGGCAGUGGAAGUGCUUCGAGUAAAGGAAACGGUAGUGCUUCCGGAUAUGGAAGUGGAUCGGGUUCUGGUUACGGCAAUGCCAAUUAAUCAAUGUUGAUCUGCGUCGUUUCUCCUAUAUAUGGGCUAUGGUCUAGUCGUCUAUAAUAAUUUACAUAUAAUGGUUUCUUUGUCUAUUUUCAAUAAUUAUAAUUACACAAAUAAAUUGUAAUUUAAUGAGUUGAUUAAUAUUGUUUGUUUAAUAUUACCUUCAUUUUAUUUAAUUUUAAGGUCACAUGCACUAUAUAAGGUCACAUGCACUAUAUAAGUGACUAGAGGUC